GGUUAAGCGACUAAGCGUACACGGUGGAUGCCCUGGCAGUCAGAGGCGAUGAAGGACGUGCUAAUCUGCGAAAAGCGUCGGUAAGGUGAUAUGAACCGUUACAGCCGGCGAUGUCCGAAUGGGGAAACCCAGUGUGAUUCGUCACACUAUCGUUAACUGAAUACAUAGGUUAACGAGGCGAACCGGGGGAACUGAAACAUCUAAGUACCCCGAGGAAAAGAAAUCAACCGAGAUUCCCCCAGUAGCGGCGAGCGAACGGGGAGCAGCCCAGAGUCUGAAUCAGCUUGUGUGUUAGUGGAACGGUCUGGAAAGUCCGACGGUACAGGGUGAUAGUCCCGUACACCAAAAUGCACAGGCUGUGAACUCGAAGAGUAGGGCGGGACACGUGGUAUCCUGUCUGAAUAUGGGGGGACCAUCCUCCAAGGCUAAAUACUCCUGACUGACCGAUAGUGAACCAGUACCGUGAGGGAAAGGCGAAAAGAACCCCGGCGAGGGGAGUGAAAAAGAACCUGAAACCGUGUACGUACAAGCAGUGGGAGCACCUUCGGGUGUGACUGCGUACCUUUUGUAUAAUGGGUCAGCGACUUAUAUUCUGUAGCAAGGUUAACCGUAUAGGGGAGCCGCAGGGAAACCGAGUCUUAACUGGGCGUUAAGUUGCAGGGUAUAGACCCGAAACCCGGUGAUCUAGCCAUGGGCAGGUUGAAGGUUGGGUAACACUAACUGGAGGACCGAACCGACUAAUGUUGAAAAAUUAGCGGAUGACUUGUGGCUGGGGGUGAAAGGCCAAUCAAACCGGGAGAUAGCUGGUUCUCCCCGAAAGCUAUUUAGGUAGCGCCUCGUGAAUUCAUCUUCGGGGGUAGAGCACUGUUUCGGCUAGGGGGUCAUCCCGACUUACCAACCCGAUGCAAACUACGAAUACCGAAGAAUGUUAUCACGGGAGACACACGGCGGGUGCUAACGUCCGUCGUGAAGAGGGAAACAACCCAGACCGCCAGCUAAGGUCCCAAAGUCAUGGUUAAGUGGGAAACGAUGUGGGAAGGCACAGACAGCCAGGAUGUUGGCUUAGAAGCAGCCAUCAUUUAAAGAAAGCGUAAUAGCUCACUGGUCGAGUCGGCCUGCGCGGAAGAUGUAACGGGGCUAAACCAUGCACCGAAGCUGCGGCAGCGACACUAUGUGUUGUUGGGUAGGGGAGCGUUCUGUAAGCCUGCGAAGGUGACCUGUGAGGGUUGCUGGAGGUAUCAGAAGUGCGAAUGCUGACAUAAGUAACGAUAAAGCGGGUGAAAAGCCCGCUCGCCGGAAGACCAAGGGUUCCUGUCCAACGUUAAUCGGGGCAGGGUGAGUCGACCCCUAAGGCGAGGCCGAAAGGCGUAGUCGAUGGGAAACAGGUUAAUAUUCCUGUACUUGGUGUUACUGCGAAGGGGGGACGGAGAAGGCUAUGUUAGCCGGGCGACGGUUGUCCCGGUUUAAGCAUGUAGGCUGGUUAUCCAGGCAAAUCCGGAUAAUCAAGGCUGAGGUGUGAUGACGAGGCACUACGGUGCUGAAGUAACAAAUGCCCUGCUUCCAGGAAAAGCCUCUAAGCAUCAGGUAACAUUAAAUCGUACCCCAAACCGACACAGGUGGUCAGGUAGAGAAUACCAAGGCGCUUGAGAGAACUCGGGUGAAGGAACUAGGCAAAAUGGUGCCGUAACUUCGGGAGAAGGCACGCUGGUGUGUAGGUGAAGUCCCUGCGGAUGGAGCUGAGACCAGUCGAAGAUACCAGCUGGCUGCAACUGUUUAUUAAAAACACAGCACUGUGCAAACACGAAAGUGGACGUAUACGGUGUGACGCCUGCCCGGUGCCGGAAGGUUAAUUGAUGGGGUUAUCCGUAAGGAGAAGCUCUUGAUCGAAGCCCCGGUAAACGGCGGCCGUAACUAUAACGGUCCUAAGGUAGCGAAAUUCCUUGUCGGGUAAGUUCCGACCUGCACGAAUGGCGUAAUGAUGGCCAGGCUGUCUCCACCCGAGACUCAGUGAAAUUGAACUCGCUGUGAAGAUGCAGUGUACCCGCGGCAAGACGGAAAGACCCCGUGAACCUUUACUAUAGCUUGACACUGAACAUUGAGCCUUGAUGUGUAGGAUAGGUGGGAGGCUUUGAAGCGUGGACGCCAGUCUGCGUGGAGCCGACCUUGAAAUACCACCCUUUAAUGUUUGAUGUUCUAACGUUGGCCCCUUACCGGGGUUGCGGACAGUGUCUGGUGGGUAGUUUGACUGGGGCGGUCUCCUCCCAAAGCGUAACGGAGGAGCACGAAGGUUAGCUAAUCCUGGUCGGACAUCAGGAGGUUAGUGCAAUGGCAUAAGCUAGCUUGACUGCGAGCGUGACGGCGCGAGCAGGUGCGAAAGCAGGUCAUAGUGAUCCGGUGGUUCUGAAUGGAAGGGCCAUCGCUCAACGGAUAAAAGGUACUCCGGGGAUAACAGGCUGAUACCGCCCAAGAGUUCAUAUCGACGGCGGUGUUUGGCACCUCGAUGUCGGCUCAUCACAUCCUGGGGCUGAAGUAGGUCCCAAGGGUAUGGCUGUUCGCCAUUUAAAGUGGUACGCGAGCUGGGUUUAGAACGUCGUGAGACAGUUCGGUCCCUAUCUGCCGUGGGCGCUGGAGAAUUGAGGGGGGCUGCUCCUAGUACGAGAGGACCGGAGUGGACGCAUCACUGGUGUUCGGGUUGUCAUGCCAAUGGCACUGCCCGGUAGCUAAAUGCGGAAGAGAUAAGUGCUGAAAGCAUCUAAGCACGAAACUUGCCCCGAGAUGAGUUCUCCCUGAGACUUUAAGUCUCCUGAAGGAACGUUGAAGACGACGACGUUGAUAGGCCGGGUGUGUAAGCGCAGCGAUGCGUUGAGCUAACCGGUACUAAUGAACCGUGAGGCUUAACCUU
rnacentral:rRNA from 1 species